GUACUCACUUCAGCACAUACACUAAAAUUGGAAUGAUACAGAGAAGAUUAGCUUGGUGCCUGUGGAAGGAUGACAAGCAAGUUCAUGAAGCAUUAUAUAUUUUU
rnacentral:snRNA from 1 species